rnacentral:rRNA from 1 species
ACGGAGGCAGCAGUGAGGAAUAUUGGUCAAUGGGCGGAAGCCUGAACCAGCCAAGUCGCGUGAAGGAUGGAGGUAUUAUGUAUUGUAAACUUCUUUAGUCGCAGAGAAAUAAGGUGCUCGUGAGCACUGAUGCUAGUAUGCGAAGAAUAAGGAUCGGCUAACUCCGUGCCAGCAGCCGCGGUAAUACGGAGGAUCCGAGCAUUAUCCGGAUUUAUUGGGUUUAAAGGGUGCGCAGUCGGUCUUUUAAGUCAGUGGUCAAAUCGUGGGGCUCAACCCCGUCCCGCCAGUGAUACUGGAGGACUUGAUUGCUGUCGAGGUUGUCGGAAUUCGUCGUGUAGCGGUGAAAUGCAUAGAUAUGACGAAGAACACCGAUUGCGUAGGCAGCUGACCAGGCCGUAAAUGACGCUCAUGCACGAAAGUGCGGGGAUCGAACAGGAUUAGAUACCCUGGUA